rnacentral:rRNA from 1 species
AGUGAACGCUGGCGGUAGGCCUAACACAUGUAAGUCGAACGGCAGCACAGUAAGAGCUUGCUCUUACGGGUGGCGAGUGGCGGACGGGUGAGGAAUACAUCGGAAUCUACUUUUUCGUGGGGGAUAACGUAGGGAAACUUACGCUAAUACCGCAUACGACCUACGGGUGAAAGCAGGGGAUCUUCGGACCUUGCGCGAUUGAAUGAGCCGAUGUCGGAUUAGCUAGUUGGCGGGGUAAAGGCCCACCAAGGCGACGAUCCGUAGCUGGUCUGAGAGGAUGAUCAGCCACACUGGAACUGAGACACGGUCCAGACUCCUACGGGAGGCAGCAGUGGGGAAUAUUGGACAAUGGGCGCAAGCCUGAUCCAGCCAUACCGCGUGGGUGAAGAAGGCCUUCGGGUUGUAAAGCCCUUUUGUUGGGAAAGAAAAGCAGCAGGUUAAUACCCCGCUGUUCUGACGGUACCCAAAGAAUAAGCACCGGCUAACUUCGU